rnacentral:lncRNA from 1 species
AAAUUGUGCGGUUAACGGUCAAAGCCCCCCUGCCUACUUUGACACUCAUUUAAAGAUGACAGGGAACAAUAGAGAUUUGUUCUGUGCAACCCUUUCUUGUUAUGCCGGCGACAUCAGCUCCGCACAUGAAACUGCCCGAUAUUUCAUUCCACCUGCCACCUCCCUCCCGCCUCGGUCGACUCUCUCCUCUGCUACUUUGCUUGUCCCCACUUUAACACAAAGAGACACAGCUCUGUGUUCACAGCACCUAACAGUGUUGAAAAAGAAUGCUAUUUAAAACCCGAGUUGAGACAUCACCUUUCCAAAUCCAUGAUUGCUUCCUGGCUCACUAAACACAAACCAGAAAUUAAUGCUGCAAAGAGCAUUCAGGCUGGGAUUUUUAUAGCUUAUUAUAGCAAGGGAGGAGACGGAGAGUAAAAGAAGAAGAAAGAGCAUACACAGUCACCCCUUGUGUGACAAAUAUGCAAGAAAUAAAGAUAAAUGUGUACAAUUCUUACAAUUUUACUUUUCUGAAUUUUGCUAUUGCACUGAAUGAUUUGUGAUAAGACAGAUGGGGAUGAAAAAUAUACUUAUUAAAUAAACAGCUAUUAAAAGCCCCUAAA